rnacentral:rRNA from 1 species
ACGUAGGGGGCGAGCGUUGUCCGGAAUCACUGGGUGUAAAGGGUGCUCAGGCGGGUCGAUAAGUCAGAGGUGAAAUUUCACAGAUUAACUGUGAAUGUGCUUUUGAUACUGUCGGUCUAGAGUUCAGAAGAGGGCAAUGGAAUUCUUGGUGUAGCGUUGAAAUGCGUAGAUAUCAAGAAGAACACCGGUUGCGAAGGCGUUUUCCUGGUCUAUAACUGACGCUCAAGCACGAAAGCGUGGGGAUCAAACAG